rnacentral:rRNA from 1 species
CAGUAGCCGCGGUAAUACGUAGGGUGCAAGCGUUAAUCGGAAUUACUGGGCGUAAAGCGUGCGCAGGCGGUUAUAUAAGACAGAUGUGAAAUCCCCGGGCUCAACCUGGGAACUGCAUUUGUGACUGUAUAGCUAGAGUACGGCAGAGGGGGAUGGAAUUCCGCGUGUAGCAGUGAAAUGCGUAGAUAUGCGAAGGAACACCGAUGGCGAAGGCAAUCCCCUGGGCCUGUACUGACGCUCAUGCACGAAAGCGUGGGGAGCAAACAGGAUUAGAUACCCGUGUAGUCCCUGUCUCUUAUAC